AAAUGUCGCAACUCGCCCGGAGGCGGAGCCGGUACGGGCUGACGUCAAGGGCACACAACACCUCAGAGGCAGGGAGGGCGGGGCCGGCAGGGGGACCCGCUGCUGGAAGAGCAGCGGCCCGAGCCAGGGCCAUGGCGAAGCUGCUGAGCUGCGUCCUAGGCCCCCGGCUCUACAAAAUCUACCGGGAGAGGGACUCUGAAAGGGCCCCGGCCAGCGUCCCUGAGACGCCAACGGCAGUCACUGCCCCCCAUUCCAGCUCCUGGGAUACAUACUAUCAGCCCCGUGCCCUGGAGAAACAUGCUGACAGUAUCCUGGCACUGGCUUCAGUAUUCUGGUCCAUCUCUUAUUACUCCUCUCCCUUCGCCUUCUUCUACUUGUACAGGAAAGGUUACUUGAGUUUGUCCAAAGUGGUGCCGUUUUCUCACUAUGCUGGGACAUUGCUGCUACUUCUGGCAGGUGUGGCCUGCCUCCGAGGCAUUGGCCGCUGGACCAACCCCCAGUACCGGCAGUUCAUCACCAUCUUGGAAGCAACACAUCGGAACCAGUCUUCAGAAAACAAGAGGCAGCUUGCCAACUACAACUUUGACUUCCGGAGCUGGCCAGUUGACUUCCACUGGGAAGAACCCAGCAGCCGGAAGGAGUCUCGAGGGGGCCCUUCACGCCAGGGUGUGGCCCUGCUUCGCCCAGAGCCCCUGCAUCGGGGGACAGCAGACACCCUCCUCAACCGGGUUAAGAAGCUGCCUUGUCAGAUCACCAGCUACCUGGUGGCGCACACCCUAGGGCGCCGGAUGCUGUAUCCAGGCUCUGUGUACCUGCUGCAGAAGGCCCUCAUGCCUGUGCUGCUGCAGGGCCAGGCCCGACUGGUGGAAGAGUGUAACGGGCGCCGGGCAAAGCUGCUGGCCUGUGAUGGCAAUGAGAUUGACACCAUGUUUGUAGACCGGCGGGGGACAGCUGAGCCCCAGGGACAGAAGCUGGUGAUCUGCUGUGAGGGGAAUGCUGGGUUUUAUGAGGUGGGCUGCGUCUCCACGCCCCUGGAAGCUGGAUAUUCAGUCCUGGGCUGGAAUCAUCCAGGCUUUGCUGGAAGCACGGGGGUGCCAUUCCCGCAGAAUGAGGCCAAUGCCAUGGAUGUGGUGGUCCAGUUUGCCAUCCACCGCCUGGGCUUCCAGCCCCAGGACAUCAUCAUCUAUGCCUGGUCCAUCGGCGGCUUCACUGCCACGUGGGCAGCCAUGUCCUACCCAGAUGUUAGUGCUGUGAUCCUGGAUGCCUCCUUUGAUGACCUGGUGCCCUUGGCCUUGAAGGUCAUGCCAGACAGCUGGAGGGGCCUGGUGACCAGGACCGUGAGGCAGCAUCUCAAUCUAAACAAUGCGGAGCAGCUGUGCAGAUACCAGGGUCCUGUACUGCUGAUCCGGAGAACCAAGGAUGAGAUCAUCACCACCACGGUUCCUGAGGACAUCAUGUCCAACCGAGGCAAUGACCUCCUGCUGAAGCUCCUGCAGCAUCGGUAUCCCCGGGUGAUGGCAGAGGAGGGUCUUCGAGUGGUGAGGCAGUGGUUGGAGGCCUCCUCACAGCUGGAGGAAGCCUCAAUUUAUAGCCGAUGGGAGGUGGAAGAGGACUGGUGUCUGUCUGUCCUCCGCUCCUACCAGGCAGAACACGGGCCCGACUUCCCCUGGAGCGUGGGGGAGGACAUGAGUGCAGAUGGACGGCGGCAGCUGGCUUUGUUUUUGGCUUGGAAGCAUCUGCACAACUUUGAGGCCACUCACUGCACCCCACUCCCAGCCCAGAACUUCCAGAUGCCCUGGCACCUCUAGGGACCAACUGGGACUCAUUAUGGAAGAAUGGGGUAGGAGCACUCAGGAGGGAUACCGUCAUCUGCUGCUGUCGCCAUGGCGAUUAUUUCAACGCCCUGCCUCUUCACCCCAGGAAAACCUUCGCGGAACCCGUCACCAUGGAAACGAACUCUCUGGACUCUUAGCGCGCCCUGGGCUGGCCCUGCUGCGUGCACAGGAGAGGAGCAAAAGGCAACAAAGAAGGGAUUAAUUACUCGGAGGCCGCCCCCCCUCCGAAGAAGGCCCCACCCUGCCCCGGCGUCACCCUUCCCCGAAAUAAUUCGAGGAAAUAUUCCGCGAAUGCUGGGGGAGUGUCUUGCCCCCCGGUUCCCUCAAGGCCCACGGUCGCUUGAAUUCCAGAGCAAGUCCUCCCGGACCUCUCAGGGCGAUCCCCUCCCGAAGCCCAGCCUCAGCCUCGCAAAGCCUCUAGUCGUUGGCCUUUUCGCUGCGAUUAUAUUCGAGAGGGAGCUUCAGAGGGCGCCAUGAGGUUCCCCUGUGCUUCCCCUUUGCCCUUUGCCCUCUUUGCUUCAAGAGGAGCCCUGGGUCUCUUAUUCUUUUUUUUUUUUUUUGAGACGGAGUCUUACUCUGUCGCCAAGCUGGAGUGCAAUGGCGACAUCUCGGCUCACUGCAACCUCCGUCUCCCGGGUUCAAGUGAUUCUCCUGCCUCAGCCUCCUGACUAGCUGGGACUACAGGCACGCACCACCACUCCUGGCUAAUUUUUGUAUGUUUAGUAGAGACGGGGUUUCACCAUAUUGUCCAGGAUGGUCUCGAUCUCUUGACCUUGUGAUCCGCCCACCUCGGCCUCCCAAAGUGCUGGGAUUACAGGCGUGAGUCACAGCGCCCGGCCUUCUGAUUCUUUUUGUCUAUCACUCUGUGCACUCAUUCAUUCAGGACAUUUAUGUAGGUGCCCCGCGUUCCUCCGCAGUUCUCCACUACUCUGGCUUUUCUCUAAUACAAUUUAUUUUGUGUUAUUAUUUCUUUAAGACAGAGUCUCACUCUGUCACCCAGGCUGGAGUGCAGUGGUGCGAUCUCGGCUCACUGCAACCUCUGCCUCCCAGGUUCAAGAGAUUCUCCUGCCUCAGCCUCCCGAGUAGCUAGGACUACAGGCGCGCGCCACCACACCUGGCUAAUGUUUUUGUAAUUUUGGUAGAGACGGGGUUUCACGAUGUUGCUCAGGUUGGUUGUGAACUCCUGACCUCGAAUGAUCCCCCAACCUUGGCCUCCCAAAGUGCUGGGAUUACAGGCGUGAGCCACUGGGCCCGGCCAAUUUAUUUUAUUUUUAAAGUAUUAUAUUGUUGUUAUUUGAGACAGCAGUGGCCUCGACCUCCUGGGUUCAAGUGAUCCUCCCACCUCAGCCUCCCGAGUAGCUGGGACUACAGGCACACGCCACCACGCCCCGCUAAUUUUUUUCAACUUUUUUUUGUAGGGAUGGGGUCUCGCUAUAUUGCCCAGGCUGGUCUCGAACUCUUGGGCUCAAGAGAUCCUCCCUCCUUGGCCUCCCAAAGUAACGGGGUUACAGUCGUUAGCCACUGCACCCGGCCUAAUACAGUUUUUCGUUUUUGUUUCUGUUUUUGGUUUUUUUGAGAUGGAGUCUUGCUCUUGUCGCCCAAGCUGGAGUGCAAUGGCACGAUCUCGGCUCACUGCAACCUCCGCUUCCUGUGUUCAAGAAAUUCUGCCUCAGCCUCCCAAGUGACUGGGAUUACAGGCGCACGCCGCCACGCCCGGCUAAUUUUUGGUAUUUGUAGUAGAAACGGGGUUUCACCAUGUUAGCCAGGCUAGGCGCGAACUCCUGACCUCAGGUAGUCCACCCGCCUUGGCCUCCCAAAGUGCUGGGAUUACAGGCGUGAGCCACCGCAGUCGGCCCUAAUAUAGUUUUUAAAUUCAUUCAUUCCAAGGCUCUUGGGAGGCGCUCAGUGGCGUGCUGUUUCCUCUCGAAUUUCUUUCUUCCCGCAGUCUUUCUGGGCGGGCGUCUCCCGUCUGUUUCUUCCCAUCUUCCCCUUUAUCAUCCUGAGACUGGAUAAUUAUUGAAUAGUCUGGGAGGUAGCAGGGAACCCGAGUUCGGAGCCUCGACCGGAACCUCCAGACGGGAAAUUGGAGCAGGUGGUGUCGUUCCUGGACGCUGAGGACCCCCUCCGCCCCUAACCCACAGCCCAACGAUCCUAAAAGUAAAAACCCUGAGUCUCUGAGUCAAGACUGAGCUGGUAGGGUGGGGACCGAGUAGGCGAGGCUGGGGAGCCCAGCGGGUCCCCAGCGGAGAAAAUGGGUGAGACGCCUGGGGCCGCGGUCUCCAGAAUUCGCCUGGGAGGGAGAGUGGCGCUACGGCGCCGCAUUCCUGGGGAGCCGCAUUCCUGGGGAGCCGCCUCGGGCUCCGGAUGUCCGCUGGGGCCAGACGCUUGGGUCCCGACGCGGUUCGCACUUCCCAGGUUUCUUCCCCAGGGAACAGAGCUUGAGCGGGGGGCCACCCCUGCGUCCUACCGGAGUUCUGAGGCGCGGUCAGGCGCGGAGAGCGGACGCCCAGCGCCAGAUUCUGUGGGUGCCGGAGAUCAGGCCCACUGAGCCGGAGAUCAGGCCCACUGAGCCGCAGCUGCGCACAGGCGGGGCAGGAAAAAGGAUGAGGUGGGGGAAGGCGCUGGGUUCCUGGAACCCCAAGGGGACACUGAGCUGAGUACGUAUCGCUUGGGAUCCAGGUGUCCUUGUUUUGGGAUGUAUGACAGGUGUCCCCAGGGUAUGAGAAGUGGGACUGGGCACCCCCUAUUUGCUUUUUUUUUUUUUUUUUUUGAGACAGACCACAUGUUUCCUAUCUUGGAAAAUGGUACCACUUCCUUGUGCAAGCCUACCCCUGUUCCCUCACCCCUCGUUCAGUCCAACAGCAAAUCUGUCCAGUCUUCUAACUGUAUCUCAGGUUCAUUAACCCGGCUUCCUCGUCCCUUCCCGUCUUCUGCCGGACCAGUCCGCCAUCUUGUGACCGGACUCGGGAAUAGCGUCCUACUUCCCGGCGGCCUCCACUCUUGACCCAAAUGCAAUGUGCAGCCAUGGCAAUCUUUUAUAAACAGAAAUCCGAUCAAGUUACUCCUCUGCCGAAAUCCCUCUGGUAAGUUUGUUCCUGUCAAUUGGGAACCCCCUCAACCACUUCCAUUCCCCAAAUACCUGCGCUGCUACCGAUGCCUCUUGGAGACCAAGGAGUUAGGGUGCCUUCUGGGAUCUGACAUCUGCCUCACCCCGGCUGGCAGCAGCUGCAUCACUCUCCACAUAAAGAACAGCAGCGGUUCUGACAUCAUGGUGAGUGACUGCCGAAGUAAGGAGCAGAUGAGUGAUUGUUCAAAUACCCGAACUUCUCCGGUGUCUGGCUUCUGGAUAUUCUCUCAAUGCUGCUUCCUGGAUUUCUGCAAUGACCCUCAAAACAGAGGGCUCUAUACUCCUUAGUGUGACUGCAACAACCUUUGGUGUAAAAUUCCACCAGUUUCCAGCCACCUUCCUGACUUCUAUCUGGGCUUGGCCAGGACUUCUAGUCCCUCAUACCAGCCCUCCUUGCCUCCCUCCAGCCACUGGACCCCAGCCUUGGCUCUUCCUCUUGGUUGACGCCCUUCAGCACACUUACUCCUACUCCGCACCCCCAGCCCCACUGCCCACCAGGUUUCCUCUCUUGUCCCUAGUCCCUGGAUGUUUCUCCCAAAUAAAUUUGUGUGCAAACUGU